rnacentral:rRNA from 1 species
AGGACGAACGCUGGCGGCGUGCUUAACACAUGCAAGUCGAGCGGUAAGGCCUUUCGGGGUACACGAGCGGCGAACGGGUGAGUAACACGUGGGUGGUCUGCCCUGCACUUCGGGAUAAGCCUGGGAAACUGGGUCUAAUACCGGAUAUGACCUCCUAUCGCAUGGUGGGUGGUGGAAAGAUUUAUCGGUGCAGGAUGGGCCCGCGGCCUAUCAGCUUGUUGGUGGGGUAAUGGCCUACCAAGGCGACGACGGGUAGCCGACCUGAGAGGGUGACCGGCACACUGGGACUGAGACACGGCCCAGACUCCUACGGGAGGCAGCAGUGGGGAAUAUUGCACGAAUGGGCGAAAGCCUGAUGCAGCGACGCGCGUGAGGGAUGGAACGGCCUUCGGGUUAGUAAACCCGUCUUUCAGUCAGGACGAAGCGACAAGUGACGGUACCUGACAGAAGAGCGACCGACUAACGUACCGUAGCCAGCAACGGCCGAC